AUAAAAACAUGGAUGAGGAGUAGUAAGAGCGUAUCCGUUUUCAGAGAACUGCCGGGUGGUGUGAGGCAGCAGCGUAAUCUCCCAACUCACCUCGGAGUUCCUUUGUUGAACGAAUCGGCCGGCGACGCUUUUUUGAGGCAGUACGUACGGUGAGAUUUCCGGUAGGCAGAGGCGGGUGUUCCCGUUACAGAAUCAAUGAGUGCAUGUUUUAUAUAGAGCAGAGACAUGAAUGAGAGUGGUACCACGGAAAAUAAAAGCCUUUUCGUCUCUUUU
rnacentral:ncRNA from 1 species